rnacentral:rRNA from 1 species
GAACGCUGGCGGCGUGCCUAAUAGUACCAAGUCGAGCGGACCCUUCGGGGUUAGCGGCGGACGGGUGAGCAACACGUAGGCAACCUGCCUGUAAGACUGGGAUAACUACCGGAGACGGUAGCUAAGACCGGAUAAGUGAUUCUCUCGCAUGAGAGGAUCAAGAUACACGGGGCAACCUGUGGCUUACAGAUGGGCCUGCGGCGCAUUAGCUAGUUGGUGGGGUAACGGCUCACCAAGGCGACGAUGCGUAACCGACCUGAGAGGGUGAUCGGCCACGUCAGGACUGAGACACGGCCCAGACUCCUACGGGAGGCAGCAGUAGGGAAUCUUCCGCAAUGGACGCAAGUCUGACGGAGCAACGCCGCGUGAGUGAUGAAGGUUUUCGGAUCGUAAAGCUCUGUUGCCAGGGAAGAACGUCGUGGAGAGUAACUGCUCUGCGAAUGACGGUACCUGAGAAGACAGCCCCGGCUAAGUACGUGCCAGCAGCCGCGGUAAUACGUAGGGGGCAAUCGUUGUCCGGAAUUAUUGGGCGUAAAGCGCGCGCAGGCGGCCGCUUACUAGUGGUG